rnacentral:misc_RNA from 1 species
GAUGAAGAACGUAGCGAAAUGCGAUAAGUAAUGUGAAUUGCAGAAUUCAGUGAAUCAUCGAGUCUUUGAACGCACAUUGCGCCCCCUGGUAUUCCGGGGGGCAUGCCUGUCCGAGCGUCAUUGCCGCCCUCAAGCACGGCUUGUGUGUUGGGCCCCCGCCCCCCGGCUUCGGGGGGCGGGCCCGAAAGGCAGCGGCGGCACCGCGUCCGGUCCUCGAGCGUAUGGGGCUUCGUCACCCGCUCUGUAGGCCCGGCCUGCGCCCGCCGGCGACCCCAAUCAAUCUUUCCAGGUUGACCUCGGAUCAGGUAGGGAUACCCGCUGAACUUAAGCAUAUCAAUAAGCGGAGGA